rnacentral:rRNA from 1 species
GAUGAACGCUGACAGAAUGCUUAACACAUGCAAGUCGGUGGCGGACGGGUGAGUAACGCGUGGGUAACCUGCCCUCCUUUUUGGGAUAAGCCUUGGAAACGGGGUCUAAUACCGAAUAAAGGGGGAUGGGCUCGCGGCCUAUCAGCUUGUUGGUGGGGUGAUGGCCUACCAAGGCGGUGACGGGUAGCCGGCCUGAGAGGGUGACCGGCCACAUUGGGACUGAGAUACGGCCCAGACUGCUACGGGAGGCGGCAGUGGGGGAUAUUGGAAAAUGGGCGAAAGCCUGAUGCAGCGACGCCGCGUGUAUGAAGAAGGCCUGCGGGUUGUAAAGUACUUUCAGCGGGGAGGCGUUACCCGCAGAAGAAGCACCGGCUAACUCCGUGCCAGCCGCCGCGGUAAUAC